rnacentral:rRNA from 1 species
GACGUAGGGCGCGAGCGUUGUCCGGAUUGAUUGGGCGUAAAGAGCUCGUAGGCGGCUCGUUGCGUCGGCUGUGAAAACCCGCAGCUCAACUGUGGGCCUGCAGCCGAUACGGGCGGGCUGGAGUUCGGUAGGGGAGACUGGAAUUCCUGGUGUAGCGGUGAAAUGCGCAGAUAUCAGGAGGAACACCGAUGGCGAAGGCAGGUCUCUGGGCAUUAACUGACGCUGAGGAGCGAAAGCAUGGGGAGCGAACAGG